rnacentral:rRNA from 1 species
GACGUAGGGAGCGAGCGUUGUCCGGAUUCAUUGGGCGUAAAGGGUCCGUAGGCGGCUCAGCAAGUCGGGUGUGAAAUCUCCAGGCUCAACCUGGAGGGCCACUCGAUACUGCUGUGGCUUGAGUCCAGUAGGGGAGCAUGGAAUUCCCGGUGUAGCGGUGAAAUGCGUAGAUAUUAGGAAGAACACCAGUGGCGAAGGCGGCUCACUGGCCCGAUACUGACGCUGAGGCACGAAGCGUGGGGAGCAACAGG